rnacentral:rRNA from 1 species
UGCCACAGCAAUGUCACCCUGCAGCCCAAGACCGCUUACUCACUGAAGCUAAGCAGGGCUGAGCCUGGUCAGUAGCUGGAUGGGAGACCACUAGGGAACACUAGGUUGCUGUUGGAA